GAGUUUGAUCCUGGCUCAGGACGAACGCUGAGCGGCGUGCUUAACACACUCGCUUGUCGAACGGAAAGGCCCUGCUUUUGUGGGGUGCUCGAGUGGCGAACGGGUGAGUAACACGUGAGUAACCUGCCCUUGACUUUGGGAUAACUUCAGGAAACUGGGGCUAAUACCGGAUAGGAGCUCCUGCUGCAUGGUGGGGGUUGGAAAGUUUCGGCGGUUGGGGAUGGACUCGCGGCUUAUCAGCUUGUUGGUGGGGUAGUGGCUUACCAAGGCUUUGACGGGUAGCCGGCCUGAGAGGGUGACCGGCCACAUUGGGACUGAGAUACGGCCCAGACUCCUACGGGAGGCAGCAGUGGGGAAUAUUGCACAAUGGGCGGAAGCCUGAUGCAGCAACGCCGCGUGCGGGAUGACGGCCUUCGGGUUGUAAACCGCUUUCGCCUGUGACGAAGCGUGAGUGACGGUAAUGGGUAAAGAAGCACCGGCUAACUACGUGCCAGCAGCCGCGGUGAUACGUAGGGUGCGAGCGUUGUCCGGAUUUAUUGGGCGUAAAGGGCUCGUAGGUGGUUGAUCGCGUCGGAAGUGUAAUCUUGGGGCUUAACCCUGAGCGUGCUUUCGAUACGGGUUGACUUGAGGAAGGUAGGGGAGAAUGGAAUUCCUGGUGGAGCGGUGGAAUGCGCAGAUAUCAGGAGGAACACCAGUGGCGAAGGCGGUUCUCUGGGCCUUUCCUGACGCUGAGGAGCGAAAGCGUGGGGAGCGAACAGGCUUAGAUACCCUGGUAGUCCACGCUGUAAACGGUGGGUACUAGGUGUGGAGUCCAUUCCACGGGUUCCGCGCCGUAGCUUACGCUUUUAGUACCCCGCCUGGGGGAGUACGGCCGCAAGGGCUAAACUCAAAGGAAUUGACGGGGCCCCGCACAAGCGGCGGAGCAUGCGGAUUAAUUCGAUGCAACGCGUAGAACCUUACCUGGGUUUGACAUGGAUCGGGAGUGCUCAGAGAUGGGUGUGCCUCUUUUGGGGUCGGUUCACAGGUGGUGCAUGGCUGUCGUCAGCUCGUGUCGUGAGAUGUUGGGUUAAGUCCCGCAACGAGCGCAACCCUUGUUCACUGUUGCCAGCACGUUAUGGUGGGGACUCAGUGGAGACCGCCGGGGUCAACUCGGAGGAAGGUGGGGAUGACGUCAAGUCAUCAUGCCCCUUAUGUCCAGGGCUUCACGCAUGCUACAAUGGCUGGUACAGAGAGUGGCGAGCCUGUGAGGGUGAGCGAAUCUCGGAAAGCCGGUCUCAGUUCGGAUUGGGGUCUGCAACUCGACCUCAUGAAGUCGGAGUCGCUAGUAAUCGCAGAUCAGCAACGCUGCGGUGAAUACGUUCCCGGGGCUUGUACACACCGCCCGUCAAGUCAUGAAAGUUGGUAACACCCGAAGCCGGUGGCCUAACCGUUGUGGGGGAGCGGUCGAAGGUGGGACUGGUGAUUAGGACUAAGUCGUAACAAGGUAGCC
rnacentral:rRNA from 1 species